rnacentral:rRNA from 1 species
AAUUUGCCCCGAAGAGGGGGAUAAUCCAGAGAAAUUUGGCCUAAUACCCCGUACCUUUCCUUCCAGCCUGCUGGAUUGAAAGAAAGGCUUCGGCCGCUUUGGGAGAAGCUUGCGGCUUAUCAGGUAGUUGGUGGGGUAACGGCCUACCAAGCCGAAGACGAGUAACCGGUGUGAGAGCACGAUCGGUCAGAGGGGGACUGAGACACGGCCCCCACUCCUACGGGAGGCAGCAGCAGGGAAUCUUGCGCAAUGGGCGAAAGCCUGACGCAGCGACACCGCGUGGAGGAUGAAGGUCUUAGGAUUGUAAACUCCUUUUAUCAGGGAAGAGAAAGGACGGUACCUGAUGAAUAAGGUUCGGCUAACUACGUGCCAGCAGCCGCGGUAAUACGUAGGAACCGAGCGUUGUCCGAAUUUACUGGGCGUAAAGAGCGCGUAGGUGGUUCGUUAAGUCUCAUGUGUAAUCUCCCGGCUCAACUGGGAGGGGUCAUGGGAUACUGGCAGACUUGAGGGUAGCAGAGGAAAGCGGAAUUCCCGGAGUAGUGGUGAAAUGCGUAGAUACCGGGAGGAACACCAGAGGCGAAGGCGGCUUUCUGGGCUAUUCCUGACACUGAGGCGCGAAAGCGUGGGGAGCGAACCGGAUUA